UUUCUUUUUAAAAUGUUUUAAAGGCAAAAAACCUUUAUCCUAUCAAUACAUAUUAGGGUUUUCCAACCUUAACAAAAGUAAAGGCCAUUAUCUUUUUCAUUCUUGUUGCUUCUUUUCUUUAUCUCUGUCAUCACCAUGGAGCUUAGGGUUUUAAACUGAAUGCAUUCUUGAGCCGCUGCUAUGGUGAUUUACAAAGAAUUUAUUCAGGAAAAAACAAGGUAAGAUGCAGGUACUUAGGGGCAGCAAGGAAGCGACAACUGGAUGCAAGCUGGGAAAAAGACUCAGGAUGACAUAAGGCAACUCAACCAGGACAACCCAACCAGGACUAGUCAUUCAGGAAAUGACGAGUCACCCUUCCUUAUGUGCAUUUACCUUUACUUUGCAUCUACAAAUACAUAAUGUUUUCUUUCUUCUGCAAUAUAACAUUUAGUCUCACGGCUUGUGUGAGACAUUAUCCAUUCAUAUCAUCAAUAAAGAUUACUUUUUUCAAAAAA